GAGGUUGGCUUCAAUGCUAAGGAAGCCCACAAUAUUGUCAAAGAGUGUGUGCUGGUGAAGAUUAUAAUCACAUCAUCAACCAAGCAUAGUGGAACAAUCCUUAACACAUCUGGUUAAGUUGGGAAAAGCUUAUACAUAUAUUGUGACCUGUGCAGUGGUCCAGAAGAGCGCAUAUGGCUUUCAUACAGCCAGCUCCUGUUUUUGGGAUACCACAUCUGAUGGAACCUGUACCAUAAGAUGGGAGAACUGGACCAUGAACCGUAUUGUCAACGUUUUUGCCAUUGCUAGUGUUCUU
rnacentral:lncRNA from 1 species